UUUGCAAGGAAAGGACAUAUAUUUUAAUUUCUUCUGUAUUCAUCUGUAUUCAUAUUCACAUAAACUCAUACUACAAAAUUUUAAUGCAAACCAGUGUCGGGGAGCCUCUGUCCAUCCUGGCCGUACCACCUGGUCAGGAGGGAGGGAGGAACGGACAGAGGGUCCCCCCACACCUCUUGGUAUGACAGCCGCCCAAGGCCGCAAACCAAGCCUACGUCUGACUGCAGGACGACGGGCAUCAAGCUACACUGCUGCCAUGGUCUCUCCUGACUCCGGUGAACCCCACCACCACCACCACCACCAGCUACCAUGGGAGUGGUGCAGCCCACGCUGAGCGUCCUCCCUCCCUCCAGAGUGGAGCUGGAGCAGGGCUUUGCUACACUGCUGUGUGUGGCCAGUGGGGGCUUCCCCUCAGACUGGAAGCUUGGCUGGAAGGUGGGGUGCAGCAGCAGGUCUGGGGGGGUGUCAGAUAGCCUGGUGGUCCUGGGGAAAGACGGCCACUACAGCUGGACCAGCACCUUGACCCUCCCUGCAGACCAGUGGAGGAAGGCGGGCUCAGUGAGCUGUGAGGCCAGUAAGAAUGGCCAGACGCAGCCUGUCACUCAAACCCUGAAUCCUGGAGAGUGUUCAGAGUAGAGAGGCUCCAGCAUGGAGGUACUGGAGGAUACAGAUCUCCUCUGACACGUCUGCUUUAUCUCUCUCUGUCCAAGCUGGCACUGUAGCUUUUGUUGAAUUACAUUAAAACAACACGUGUUUGAUUCAUUAACAUUAUUCUCUCUGGUUUUUACCCCUUGCUUGGAUUUGUCACAUGUUGAACAUUUAAUAAAAACGCAAAAAGUACAAUAUUUCUUGUGAUAUUUUCCAAUCGUGUAACUGCUGUGUCUGCGAUUAAUCCUUACACCAAUGAGUAUAUCCAAUAAAGGUUAUCUUUAUUAGACAAGCUUCAUCACAAUUUUGAAUGAAGGC